AUUGAACGCUGGCGGCAGGCUUAACACAUGCAAGUCGAGCGGGGUGAUGGUGCUUGCACUAUCACUUAGCGGCGGACGGGUGAGUAAUGCAUAGGAAUCUGCCUAUUAGUGGGGGACAACAUUCCGAAAGGAAUGCUAAUACCGCAUACGUCCUACGGGAGAAAGCAGGGGAUCUUCGGACCUUGCGCUAAUAGAUGAGCCUAAGUCGGAUUAGGUAGUUGGUGGGGUAAAGGCCUACCAAGGCGACGAUCUGUAGCGGGUCUGAGAGGAUGAUCCGCCACACUGGGACUGAGACACGGCCCAGACUCCUACGGGAGGCAGCAGUGGGGAAUAUUGGACAAUGGGGGAAACCCUGAUCCAGCCAUGCCGCGUGUGUGAAGAAGGCCUUAUGGUUGUAAAGCACUUUAAGCGAGGAGGAGGCUACUGAGACUAAUACUCUUGGAUAGUGGACGUUACUCGCAGAAUAAGCACCGGCUAACUCUGUGCCAGCCGCCGCAGUAA
rnacentral:rRNA from 1 species